rnacentral:sRNA from 1 species
CCGGAAGGGGCAGGUCUUGUGGGCGGGUCCAAUCGGCUGGGAGCCUCGUGGAGGCUGAGAUUGCUUCACCUGUGGUAUCAGACAUCAGAACAUGGGGCUCACCAAGCAGUACCUACGCUAUGUUGCUAGUGCGGUCUUUGGCGUUAUCGGCAGCCAAAAAGGUCUAGCUAGCCAACAUCAAGUUCCUUUGUGUUCUUCGCCACUAAAUUCUGAAAACCACAAUGAAAUAGGAGCUUAUUUCUUAGAUGUCUAUUUGUUGGAAUAUUUACAGAUUCUUAUCCUUCAGGGGCUUAAACAAGAAGUUACUUGCUUAUGCCCCUCCCCAGAUGGGCUACACUUAGCUGUUGGGUAUGAGGAUGGGUCGAUCCGAAUCUUCAGUCUCCUGAGUGGUGAAGGAAAUGUGACCUUCAAUGGUCACAAAGCAGCUAUCACUACCUUGAAGUAUGAUCAGCUAGGAGGCAGACUGGCAUCUGGGUCCAAGGACACAGAUAUUAUUGUAUGGGAUGUGAUCAAUGAAAGUGGUCUGUACCGUCUAAAGGGGCACAAGGAUGCCAUCACACAAGCAUUGUUUCUACGAGAAAAGAACCUGCUAGUUACUAGUGGGAAAGAUACCAUGGUGAAAUGGUGGGACCUUGAUACUCAGCACUGCUUUAAAACAAUGGUUGGCCACCGGACUGAG